GUGGGGAAUUUUGGACAAUGGGCGCAAGCCUGAUCCAGCCAUGCCGCGUGCAGGAUGAAGGCCUUCGGGUUGUAAACUGCUUUUGUACGGAACGAAACGGCUCUUUCUAAUAAAGAGGGCUAAUGACGGUACCGUAAGAAUAAGCACCGGCUAACUACGUGCCAGCAGCCGCGGUAAUACGUAGGGUGCGAGCGUUAAUCGGAAUUACUUGGCGUAAAGCGUGCGCAGGCGGUGAUGUAAGACAGAUGUGAAAUCCCCGGGCUCAACCUGGGAACUGCAGUUGUGACUGCAUCGCUGGAGUGCGGCAGAGGGGGAUGGAAUUCCGCGUGUAGCAGUGAAAUGCGUAGAUAUGCGGAGGAACACCGAUGGCGAAGGCAAUCCCCUGGGCCUGCACUGACGCUCAUGCACGAAAGCGUGGGGAGCAAACAGGAUUAGAUACCCGAGUAGUCC
rnacentral:rRNA from 1 species